UAUGUGGGUUAAAGCUAUUGAC
rnacentral:piRNA from 1 species